rnacentral:rRNA from 1 species
UACGUAGGUGGCAAGCGUUGUCCGGAUUUACUGGGCGUAAAGAGCGCGCAGGCGGUCGUUCAAGUCGCGUGUGAAAGCCCCCGGCUCAACUGGGGAGGGUCACGCGAUACUGAUCGACUCGAAGGCAGGAGAGGGUAGUGGAAUUCCUGGUGUAGCGGUGAAAUGCGUAGAGAUCAGGAGGAACACCCGUGGCGAAGGCGGCCCUCUGGCUCGACCCUGACGCUGAGGCGCGAAAGCGUGGGGAGCGAACGGG